CACGAGGUUAGCCGGUGCUUAUUCUUUGGGUACCGUCAUCCCAACCGGGUAUUAGCCAGCUGGAUUUCUUUCCCAACAAAAGGGCUUUACAACCCGAAGGCCUUCUUCACCCACGCGGUAUGGCUGGAUCAGGCUUGCGCCCAUUGUCCAAUAUUCCCCACUGCUGCCUCCCGUAGGAGUCUGGACCGUGUCUCAGUUCCAGUGUGGCUGAUCAUCCUCUCAGACCAGCUACGGAUCGUCGCCUUGGUGGGCCUUUACCCGCCAACUAGCUAAUCCGACAUCGGCUCAUUCAAUCGCGCAAGGCCCGAAGGUCCCCUGCUUUCACCCGUAGGUCGUAUGCGGUAUUAGCGUAAGUUUCCCUACGUUAUCCCCCACGACAGAGUAGAUUCCGAUGUAUUCCUCACCCGUCCGCCACUCGCCACCCAGAGAGCAAGCUCUCCUGUGCUGCCGUUCGACUUGCAUGUGUUAGGCCUACCGCCAGCGUUCACUCUGAGCCAGGAUCAAACUCU
rnacentral:rRNA from 1 species